GUUGGAGAAAGCAGAGCACUAAACAGAUUCUCAGAUUUGUCAGUCUGACCAGAACUGAUCUGAGAAAGUGGACAGGGACCAAAUCAAUAGGGGGGACAACACAUUGACCAAACAAAAAUGUGUGUCUUACAGUCCAGAGUUUUCCAUUUCAGACAAAUGAGAGGCUAAGAUGAAUUCAAGCAAAAGCGAGAUUGAAAAGGAAGUCAGUUCCUAGAGACGUGGGGAAAGAAUGAGAGGGAUUUAUGAGAAGAAAUAUAUGAAGAGGUUAAUAGUUACUGCACGGAUGUGAGAUUUCUCAGAGAUACCAGGGGAAAGCUCAGAAGGUGCUACUCCAUGACACAUCUCAAAAGGGGACCACUCACAGCUCUAACACGGUUCUCAUGUGGCUAUCACAUAUGGCACAAGAAGCAUGCAGUAGAAGUUACUCAAUGAUGUACAACAAAUUUGAAGAGUUUGUACACAUCCAGUGCUGAAAGAGCCCCCCACCUCCCACUUCCUGGGAAGAAAGCUGAGGAUGCAGCUGCUGCCAGGGGACACCCGGCUCCCACAGAGCAUCUUCGUGAGUUCUCUCCAAUAGGGACAGAGCAGAAGACAUUA